CUAAUCUUCUGAAAAGAAAAAUGAAAUUGAGAUGACGCUACUGAAAGCUCAUUUAUAUUUGGAAACUCCUACCCUUCCAAUAGCAUACUUAAGUGAGCUAUCUGCCACCCAUCCACCAACUCCCCUUGGACCCCAGCUUGGGUUUGAACCUGAAAAUUGGCAUACAUGCCAGGAACCCAAGGUGAGUGAGAUCUUGGCCUCUAAUGAUCCCGGUUCAGCCAUGUGGCCCCAGCAUGGGUUGUGGUACCCAGUGGCAGCCUUGCUGCUAGGAUGGGCCCCUGUGGAAACAUGGGCGGCAGAGGAUGCGUCCCCCGUGAGCAUGGAGAAGAUGCUGAAGCACCUGGAAGCACAGAGCACCAAGUAGGAGAGUGUCUUUGCCAGCAGAGUUGGAUAGGCAUUUUUGACUGUGCUACGGGAAGUGCAUGCUCAGUCCCUGGGGGAUGCAGCACAGUAAGGGACCUCCGGGUGCAAGUAGAGUGCCUGGAGGCCCAGAUACAUAGCUUAGAAUGAGAACUAGUUUAUGCCAUUAGCGCAGGCCUGGGCUGACCAUCCCAGUCAAAGACCUUUACUUGGACUGAUACCUAGAAUUAGGAACGCCUAUUGCGAGCUCACCCACUGGUCUGUCAGAAAGUAGAGCAUGAACAGCCCUUGGGGUUCCAGGGGCAGACUCAGGAAGCUCCUACUGUGACGGAGCACAUGUCAUACAAUGCUUAUACCCCAAAUGAGUUGUGGAAAUUAGGUAAACACUGUUGGUGGUGCUUGGGGGAACCCCUACCCACCUGGAUGCUUCACUUUUGGGAUGAGGAAGCUGACGAAAUUGUAUGUUACACUUCAGAAAUAGAAAAGUUGACCUCAUUAUGAACCCUUCCCUGCAUCUGUGAUUGCAGAUGAACAGGUGGUUAGCACAGGGGCAAGGCAACCACACCCUAAUGGAAUGGCUGAUGGCAGCCAUACAAACAGUAUAGAACAAUGCUGGAGAAAUACAAGAAACUGUGAGUAAAUGGCAGACAUAUACAGAUUUGGUGCAAGUAAUUCGGGAGAUCAGUAUGUGGCAGGCUAUGUCUGAUCUGAAUACCCGAGGGCCAGAUGGUGAACGUUUUACCUCCCACAUGAGAGACCUUAUUUUGGGCAAUGAGGCCCCGAGUGCCUUUAACUCCCUCGCCGCUGUCCUCACUCAUAUGUGGGGCACCAUAUACAUGAGGUGACUACUGCCAUAGUGGCCUUCAGGGAAGCAGAAAGCUGUCAGCAGGACUGGGGAGUCCAUACCAUAAAAAAGGAAAAGGCACCCCUUCGGCAGGUCCACCACCUCAUGGGACCACCCCAAUAGAUGACUCACACGCAGAUGUGGAUUGAUUUGAUUUUAACUGAGGUUGACUGAGAGAAAAUUGAUAGGCAACCCGAUUAAGUGUUGUUAACUUUGUGGAGGCAAUUGUCCCUGGAGCAGCAAUUAUGGAAAAUGCCCAACAGGGGCAGGAUGCUGCUGCUCUACCCAGUCCUGCUCGGAGGCUCUAGCUCAAGGACCACUCACAGACACACAGAGGUAUGAGCAUUUUAUGUUUGAUUAGGGAACUGGCUGAGGUGCCCAGCUUGAGGGGACCCAGAUGACUGGAGGUCAUGUGUAGAAUUGGCAAUCCACUGGUCCCCCACCAAUGUACAGCAGGUGCUGGCACUGGUAGACACUGGCAUAGAUUGUAGCCUCAUCUAUGGUAACCCGGAUAAGUUUCUGGGCAAGACUGCAUACAUAGAUGGCUAUGGAGGCCAGUCAGUGAAUGUGAAACCAGUAUCUUUGUACUUGGUAUCAGCCUCUUGGCUCCCUAAGUGUAUAAACACUGUUUAUGUCUCUCCCAUACCAGAAUAGAUUCUGAGGGUGGAUAUUUUACAUGACUUGACUUUGCAAUC
ensembl:lncRNA